rnacentral:tRNA from 1 species
GGAGCAUGGCUCUAUGGCAGAGCAUUUUGAUUUGAAGUUAGAAAGUCCCAGGUUCAAUUCCUUGCAGAUCCA